AAAACGACUCUCGGCAACGGAUAUCUCGGCUCUCGCAUCGAUGAAGAACGUAGCGAAAUGCGAUACUUGGUGUGAAUUGCAGAAUCCCGUGAACCAUCGAGUUUUUGAACGCAAGUUGCGCCCCAAGCCUUCUGGCCGAGGGCACGUCUGCCUGGGUGUCACAAAUC
rnacentral:rRNA from 1 species